rnacentral:rRNA from 1 species
UACGUAGGGGGCGAGCGUUGUCCGGAUUCAUUGGGCGUAAAGCGCGCGUAGGCGGCUUUGCAAGUCGGCCGUGAAAUCUCCGGGCUCAACUCGGAGGGGUCGGGCGAGACUGCGAGGCUCGAGGUGGGCAGAGGGCAGUGGAAUUCCGGGUGUAGUGGUGGAAUGCGUAGAGAUCCGGAGGAACACCAGUGGCGAAGGCGGCUGCCUGGGCCGGUACUGACGCUGAGGUGCGAAAGCGUGGGGAGCAAACAGG